CGACGGUAACAGGAGCAGCUUGCUGCUUCGCUGACGAGUGGCGGACGGGUGAGUAAUGUCUGGGAAACUGCCUGAUGGAGGGGGAUAACUACUGGAAACGGUAGCUAAUACCGCAUAACGUCGCAAGACCAAAGAGGGGGACCUUCGGGCCUCUUGCCAUCGGAUGUGCCCAGAUGGGAUUAGCUUGUUGGUGGGGUAACGGCUCACCUAGGCGACGAUCCCUAGCUGGUCUGAGAGGAUGACCAGCCACACUGGAACUGAGACACGGUCCAGACUCCUACGGGAGGCAGCAGUGGGGAAUAUUGCACAAUGGGCGCAAGCCUGAUGCAGCCAUGCCGCGUGUAUGAAGAAGGCCUUCGGGUUGUAAAGUACUUUCAGCGGGGAGGAAGGGAGUAAAGUUAAUACCUUUGCUCAUUGACGUUACCCGCAGAAGAAGCACCGGCUAACUCCGUGCCAGCAGCCGCGGUAAUACGGAGGGUGCAAGCGUUAAUCGGAAUUACUGGGCGUAAAGCGCACGCAGGCGGUUUGUUAAGUCAGAUGUGAAAUCCCCGGGCUCAACCUGGGAACUGCAUCUGAUACUGGCAAGCUUGAGUCUCGUAGAGGGGGGUAGAAUUCCAGGUGUAGCGGUGAAAUGCGUAGAGAUCUGGAGGAAAUACCGGUGGCGAAGGCGGCCCCCUGGACGAAGACUGACGCUCAGGUGCGAAAGCGUGGGGGAGCAAACAGGAUUAGAUACCCUGGUAGU
rnacentral:rRNA from 1 species